AGUGAACGCUGGCGGUAGGCCUAACACAUGCAAGUCGAACGGCAGCACAGUAAGAGCUUGCUCUUACGGGUGGCGAGUGGCGGACGGGUGAGGAAUACAUCGGAAUCUACUUUUUCGUGGGGGAUAACGUAGGGAAACUUACGCUAAUACCGCAUACGACCUACGGGUGAAAGCAGUGGAUCUUCGGACCUUGCGCGAUUGAAUGAGCCGAUGUCGGAUUAGCUAGUUGGCGGGGUAAAGGCCCACCAAGGCGACGAUCCGUAGCUGGUCUGAGAGGAUGACCAGCCACACUGGAACUGAGACACGGUCCAGACUCCUACGGGAGGCAGCAGUUGGGAAUAUUGGACAAUGGGCGCAAGCCUGAUCCAGCCAUACCGCGUGGGUGAAGAAGGCCUUCGGGUUGUAAAGCCCUUUUGUUGGGAAAGAAAAGCAGCAGGUGAAUACCCCGCUGUUCUGACGGUACCCAAAGAAUAAGCACCGGCUAACUUCGUG
rnacentral:rRNA from 1 species